AUUGCACGCUGGCGGCAGGCCUAACACAUGCAAGUCGAGCGAGCGGCGGACGGGUGAGUAAUGUCUGGGAAACUGCCUGAUGGAGGGGGAUAACUACUGGACACGGUAGCUAAUACCGCAUACCAUCAGAUGUGCCCAGAUGGGAUGAGCUGGUAGGGGGGGUAACGGCUCACCUAGGCGACGAUCCCUAGCUGUGCUGAGAGGAUGACCAGCCACACUGGAACUGAGACACGGGCCAGACUCCGACGGGUGGCAGCAGUGGGGAAUAUAGCACAAUGGGCGCAAGCCUGAUGCAGCCAUGCCGCGUGUGUGAAGAAGGCCUUCGGGUUGUAAAGCACUUUCAGCGGGGAGGCGUUACCCGCAGAAGAAGCACCGGCUAACUCCGUGCCAGCAGCCGCGGUAAUAC
rnacentral:rRNA from 1 species